UUCAAGAAGCCCAAGUAAUCAAUUUAAGCACAAUUUUCAGGAAUACGAGAUACAGGGAAACAAACUGAUUAUUUAGAGUGACGGGACCAUACGUAAUACCGAUUCAUCACCUAAAAAGUUUCUCGCACGUCUUUCAGAGCAACAUACCUAGACAUAGUUCUGUAUAUAUCUAGAGUUUCCUUUACUUCGGCAAAAUGACAAACUAUAUACCUUUAACAGGACGCCACCUCACAACAAAUGACAUAUUAAAAAUUGGUAAGGCACUUCGUCUAUACCUUCGGGAAAAGGACGGAAAACGAGAGCCAGCCGAUUCUAAUGAUGUAAGUACAGAACAGCUUGACUUCACACAAUCUUAAUAGCUUUUCAAUGUUUUUUCUAGCAUUGUGCAAAGCAUGGUUAUAUAUUGAGAAUAUUCUUCUGUAAUUAAUCUUUAUUCCAUUCAGAAUGUUAAUUCACCCGAGACAUGAGAUAUUGAGGAGCAAAUUGAUGUUGAAGAUGAUGUAAACCGUUAAAGAAUAAAAUAAUUUCUUUCUGUCUUACAAUCCUUAUAGAAACAAUAUGCAUAAACAAAAAAUAUUCGAACUAUAUUGCAUGUAACUGGAAAAGUAGAUCAUAUUGUUUCUAGCCUGAUGCUAAGCAUGUUUAUAUAUUGCAGCCUUCUUUCAAUGAUGAUGAAAUCAAUUCUCAAUAUUACAAGCUUUUACAAUUUCAUUGUAAGCAAAUCCACCAAAUUUUUGUCAGCCAUAAAAGCCAUGAAUAUAAAAAGCAACAAUGACAAAACUACUGUAAGAAAAAUUGCAAUCUUUAUUAGUAAAAAGAGUGAAAUGUGACAUGCAUGAACUAUUCUAAUGAUUCUGCUUGUUGUUUUAGGCGACGGUGUUUCUGCACUAAGCAUAGAGGACCUAUGUUUCUAGCCUCAUGCUAAAUAAGUAAUGUUAAUUCACCUAAGACAUGGGAUAAUGCAGAGCGAAUUGAUGUUGAAGAUGAGCUAAACCAUCAAAAAGGUAUUCCAAAUUAAGAGCCUUGCCUCGUGGGAAAUUCCCCAUAGUGACAACCGGCAAUGGAGACUGUCUCUUUAAUGCUGUGGGGAUUUCCCUCUAAGAAAGGGAAGACAUUGCUCCGGUCCUACGCUUGGGAAGCAUUCAAGAAGCUGUUCAACAUGUCGCACACUUUGUUGAAGAUGUAUGUAGAAGUGAUAUCUUUGGAAAUUAAUUGUCAACGAGCUAAGAUCCUUCUGAUACUUGAUCCAUGUAACACGUUCUCAACUUACUUCGUGGAAUGAAAAAACAGAUUUUUAAAGACUGUUGCACUUUUAGAAACGUUGCCACACGUGCGAUUGUAUUAAGGAAAUAACAUUUUAAGUAACUAAUUUGCUGACUGUAACAAGAUAUGUCAAAGAGUUGAAAACUCAAAAGCUGAAGCUGAGCAUAAAAAUUUAUUCGGAACUGACAAACGCUAUGCUCUUAAUUACCAAGAUAUACUGAUUUACUUCUGUCAUGAUUGGGGUAC